rnacentral:rRNA from 1 species
UUCCGGGAGCUAACGCGUUAAAUCGACCGCCUGGGGAGUACGGCCGCAAGGUUAAAACUCAAAUGAAUUGACGGGGGCCCGCACAAGCGGUGGAGCAUGUGGUUUAAUUCGAUGCAACGCGAAGAACCUUACCUGGUCUUGACAUCCACAGAAGUUUCCAGAGAUGGGAACGUGCCUUCGGGAACUGUGAGACAGGUGCUGCAUGGCUGUCGUCAGCUCGUGUUGUGAAAUGUUGGGUUAAGUCCCGCAACGAGCGCAACCCUUAUCCUUUGUUGCCAGCGGUCCGGCCGGGAACUCAAAGGAGACUGCCAGUGAUAAACUGGAGGAAGGUGGGGAUGACGUCAAGUCAUCAUGGCCCUUACGACCAGGGCUACACACGUGCUACAAUGGCGCAUACAAAGAGAAGCGACCUCGCGAGAGCAAGCGGACCUCAUAAAGUGCGUCGUAGUCCGGAUUGAAGUCUGCAACUCGACUCCAUGAAGUCGGAAUCGCUAGUAAUCGUGGAUCAGAAUGCCACGGUGAAUACGUUCCCGGGCCUUGUACACACCGCCCGUCACACCAUGGGAGUGGGUUGCAAAAGAAGUAGGUAGCU